rnacentral:rRNA from 1 species
UACGUAGGAGGCAAGCGUUGUCCGGAAUUACUGGGCGUAAAGCGCGUGUAGGUGGUGGGACAAGUCUGCUGUGAAAGCCCCGAGCUCAACUUGGGAAUUGCAGUGGAUACUGGCGAGCUGGAGUGCGGUAGAGGAAGGUGGAAUUCCCGGUGUAGCGGUGAAAUGCGUAGAGAUCGGGAGGAACACCAGUGGCGAAGGCGGCCUUCUGGACCAGCACUGACACUCAAGCACGAAAGCGUGGGGAGCAAACAGG